rfam:Desulfobacterales bacterium CG2_30_60_27 cg2_3.0_scaffold_5981_c, whole genome shotgun sequence.
AAAGUCCAGUAGGAGGAGUUGUCCGUACACCUCCUUAGCACCGGGAAGCAGCGCCUGGGUAACCAGGGGUUGUAAGUUUCCCAUGGGCAAAAUCGCAGGCCGCAGCGCAAGCGAACCUACGUGUAGCCUCGUCACUUAUCUGAAGAUGCCGACCCUGUGGUCUAAUGGGGAAGGCCGCAGUCGCCGGAACUGGAGAACGGAAGCGUUCCGGUG